GUAGGCUAGCUAAUUACAUAAAAUCUUGGUCGCUUAUUACUAAAGAUGCCGUUGUGUUGUCGCAAAAAGGAUUUCGUAUCCCUUAAUAUACGAUAUUGAGGGAUACGAAAUCCUUUUUGCGUGACGAGUAACUCAAACUUGUCUGCCACCAUGUCAGAGCCAUUUUCACACUGAAUUUCAAGCUCAAUAUAAGUUUAAACCAGAUGAUAAAUGUGAACCGGGUCAUGAUCAGUUUUUACCUGGUAUAUCUUUAGUGCCGAAACCGAAUGGUAACAUUCAUAAUAUUAAAUGGAUUUAAAGAUAUUGAACACAUUAAAUUAGAAGAUUUUCGUACAUCUAUAAAUUUACUUUUCCAAGAUUGUUAUAUGGCUAAAAUUUAUCUCAAAGAUGCAUAUUUCAUGAUUAAAUUAAUCCUGAGUAUAAACAAUACUUGUUUAUGGUUUUAUUGGGGUCAAUAAAUUUAUGUAAGUAUUUAAUGUUCUACCGUUCUGUCUCUGUUAGCACAGCAUUAUACCCUAUGUUUUUUACUUAAUUAAUGAAGCCAGUCACUAGAUUACUUCGCUUGAUGACUGGCUCUUCAAAGCAAGAUCUUACGAUCAAUGUUUAAAAGAUAUUCAUCAUCCUAAAACACUUCUCACAGCUCUUGGCUUCAUUAUUAAGGCAGAGAAGCUGCUUUACGCCACACAAGAAGUGUUCAUUUCACGGUUACAACAUUGACUCAGAAACUCUUACGUUUGCCCAGCCGUAGAGUAAGGCUGAGUAUACACCACACUUUUCAAACAAAUUAAAUUUCUAAAUUUGAAUGAUAAUUACGAUAACGAGAUAUUCAUGAAUGUUCAGGAAUCAAUUCAACGAAGCGGUAAUACUUGUAGUCCCGCGCAGUGAUCACACAUUCGCCAUUUAUUAAGAGUAGGUAGAACAAGAAAAUCUUUUGAUGUCUACCUCUCACAGUCGUUCGUUCACCGAUGGACUGUGACUGUGAGAGGUAAACUCGAAUCGGAGUGAAUAUUGUGUGUUUAAAACUGAGCGUAUCCUUUUGGAAAUUUUUUUACUCAUAUCAAUUAAUUCUGUGUGUUUGGUGACAACACAUCUUUUCCCUUAAACGACAACGACGAAAUAGGGCCAACACUGAUUAGCCUUGGCGGCCUGUUUACCUAUUUAAUUCAAACCCUAAACGCAUUUCAGAAAAACCACACUUCGUUAAGUACAGGAAUGGUAUAAUAUUGCUUCACAAUGACUUCACCUACAACAAGUCUACCAGGCUGAACUGGUACUGCUCCAGGCGGACAGCUGCCAGUUGCAAAGCCAAGGUAAAGUUGACAAGUGACGCUAGACACGUGAAGGAGGUAGUCAACACUCAUAACCAUGUGGCCGAAGAAUAUUUGUUGUCUAGAGACGGCACGUUCAUAAAAGGUGUUGGAAUGAAUUCUGUUUUGGUGAAAAAUGAUCACAGUUGGAUGGGAAAUUGAUCACUUCUACUAUCCGCACUAAUUUACAUUUAAAGAGAGAUUUGUUUUUUUUUUUUUUGCUUGUAAAGAAUAAAUUGAAAAACGAAUGCCAAAGAACGCGUUCUUUCAUUUUUGUUGUCAAGUACGUCACGGUAUGUUUAUAAAAAGCGCUAGAGUGAAUGGUUUUCUGAUAUCUAUUAUAUUUUAUGUUAUUGGAUAAAGAAUUGAUCAUUCUAACUUCUUACAUUACAUGUUCGUACUAAUUUAUUUAUUUGACGUAAAAAUAUUUUAUAUCCGACUUAUAGAAACUCCCAAUUUGUCUAAGGUAAUUCCUGUCAGUCGUGGUGGACUCUACGGGAAAACGAUUAUUGAUGUGAAAUAGUUUCACAUACGCAAAUCAUAAUGAGGUUAUUUAAUUAGUUAAUAAUUAGUCAUUAAUAGGUUUAUAUACGUGCGUUAGGGUCCGCUGGACCCGGUAGCGAUUAAAUACGUAAGUGUUUUUUAUCUAAUUCGUAGUACCUUCAUAUCUCACCCGAAGACAUUUUUAUCAAAACGUUGGGUAUUUCUUUGAUAAAACGACACCUACAUAUAAGAAAUUCUUUCAUUACCUAAUAUUCCACAGAAUAUCAAACCUGUAUUCGAAAUAAUCUAUCGGAAUUAGAACCAACUGCAGUAUCCAACGCACCCCUACCAACGAGUGGACGAAAAGUACGUUGCGGUCUAUGUAACUGGAAGAGAGAUAGAAAAACCAAGGUUUUUUGUGUAAAAUGUAAUACACCAGUUUGUGGAGAACACAUGAAACAGAUUUGCGUAAAUUGUUAUGGCUUAGUUUGAUGCAGAGAAAUGUUGCGGAUACCAUCUGUCUGUAGCGGGUGUUUAUGUUGCUUUUUGAAGGGCGGAUCUCUGCCUCUGUUGCAUUGUGCACUUGGUUAAAGUUCUUAUGUAGUUGUCGUACAUAAAUAAUAACUUAGGCAUUUUGAAGUAAGUAAAGAUAUAACUACACGUUCAUACCCACCAAUAAAGGUGGUCAACUACUGAUGCUGAACGGUUACACAUAUAGGAAGUGUAACAAAAGCUUCAACUACUACUGUUCGAACAUGUCCAGCAAAGGCUGUAAGUCCAGGGUGAAAAUGUCCCCGGAUGGGGUUAUAAAAGCGGCAGAUUGCGUCCACAAUCACGACCCACCCAAAUACAUAGUGACGGCUGAAGGGAGAUUUGUUAAGUUAUAAGAUACCGUAUGUUUAAAUAUCCUGUCCCUGUCUGUUUCGCGUUUUAUUAUGACGUGAAACGGGACAGCGAUAGUUCUUCGCGCGCGUUGAAAACGGCGUCGCGCGUGCCAUGCCAAGCGGCUGGUGGGAAAAAAUGUUGGUUUGGUUCUUAACAAAAUGAACAUGAAUUUUCUUUCAACUUUAUCUGGGUUUGUUCUACGCCAAAAAAUUAAAUAGUAUUUUCGUUUUAACAUAAAGUUAAAUGAUGUUAAGUUAAGAAGUUAAGUUAAAAAGUAAACAUAUGCGCUAUUUACUCAUUUACUUAUAAUAAUAGUCAAUAGUUGUGUGGUAUCGAUUUAAUUGAUAUCGCAAAGAGGCAAUACCGCCAAUGUAAUAGAUAACAUUAUUCGCUUUUCUCAAAUAAAUAUAUUAAGCAAAAGAUAACAAGUAAUUAAAUCAAUUUGUAAUAGAAUACUUGAAUUAAAAUAUAAUUAAAUGAUGUAAUAAUAUCUCCUAAUUAAGUUAAAUCUGUAAUGAUAAGAUGUGUUGGUAAAUAAAUAACUUGCGUACAUAAUCAGGAUCCGAAAUUGUGACAACGGAAAAGAUGCAAGUAAAGCAAUAUUAUUCAUAUACGAUAUAAGAAAGAAUACUUAUAAAAUAAUAUAGCAAGUUAACACACAACCUAGAAUUGUUCUGGUCUAAAUUUGGGUAAGAAAGGUUGAUCUUGUGUAAAAACAAGGAACUAUUGUUAAUUUACUAGCUUAGGUAUAAUGAACAACAUAGCUAAGGUUGCAACCGGGAGGAGAGAAAUAAUGAUGAAGAAUAAGUUAAAUCGAACCAUCGUCAUGUGCUAAAUUGACGUUAUUAUUAUUUAUGAAAUAUAUUAUUUAAUUAAAUAACAUAAUAUUAUAAUACGAUUUUGUAUUUAUUCAUUCAUUAAAGUAUUUACCAUACCUAUUAUAGUACAGUUCCACGCUGAUAAUAAUUCUUAACAAAUUCUAGAAUUUUCAUUGUAAUUAAUAAGAGGCACUUAUAUCUAUUUCUAUGUGAUUAAUUAAUUUUCAGACUUGACCUACCAUACUAUACCGACUGCAAAAGGGAAUGCAUUGAUAAUGCUUAACAAAUUUACAUAUUGGAAAGAUAGUAGAAGCCGUAAUUAUUAUUGUUCCAAGAGGGCUUCGGGAUGCAAGGCUCGUCUUAAAUUAGACCAUAAAGGAGUAAUAAUCCUAGCUGAUUGUAACCAUAUACACGAACCACCGAAUUAUAUAAAAACUGCUGCUGGCUAUAUAAAAAUAUGACAACUUUUUGAUCGGUCGAAUAAACAGUAUUUUAAUCUAUGACUUACUUCUAAAAGUAAAAUCGGCACAAUGUGAUUUUGGUUACCAUUUUAUUUCGACGGCGAAAGGCUACAAUUUGCUCAUGUUUAAGGGGUAUACUUACUCCAGAGACCAUAAUACUUUAACUUUUUACUGUUCGAAGCGGCAGGGAUGUAAGGCGCGCAUUAAAUUGGCAACAAGUGGAAGAAUAGUGCAAGCAGACUGCGCCCACUUUCACGAACCCCCGAAUUAUGUGAAAACUUCCUGUGGAUUUUAUUAUAAAAUUAAAUAAAUUAAAU